rnacentral:rRNA from 1 species
UACGUAGGGUGCAAGCGUUGUCCGGAAUUACUGGGCGUAAAGCGUGCGCAGGCGGUUUUGUAAGCCAGAUGUGAAAGCCCCGGGCUUAACCUGGGAAUGGCAUUUGGGACUGCAAGGCUGGAGUGUGGCAGAGGAGACUGGAAUUCCUGGUGUAGCAGUGAAAUGCGUAGAUAUCAGGAGGAACACCGGUGGCGAAGGCGGGUCUCUGGGCCGUAACUGACGCUGAGGAGCGAAAGCGUGGGGAGCAAACAGG